rnacentral:lncRNA from 1 species
GGAAGGAAAGAAGCAGGGUGAUGUGUGAAGUGUCCAGAGGACAGGCUGGGGAGCAUGUGGGGUCCCUCGAGCCCCUGGAGCACCAGGCCAACUCUGAACAAGAGGGGGCAGCCUCCUGAAGGGUCAGGAGCAGCGGGGUGGGAACAGCAGCAAGCCACCGUCCUCUCAUCCUCAGCUAGCACAGAACUUCACAGGAGCAAACAGCAGCCAAAUACACCCAAGAAGUCACGUGGAGACAUCUAUGAGCUUCCGUCCAGUCCACCCAGCCCAUAAGAGUACCUACAACCGAUGUCUUCAUCAGCUACAGCACCAUGCACAAACCUCUGCCCAGAGACCAGAAUACCACCAGGACAUGAUGCUCUUGGACCUCAUGGAAAGCAAUCUCAUCCAGUGGUACAGUUAAAGGGAGAAAAAGACUGUGGUCUAACAUUCAAGAAUCAUGCUGGGCCCCUGCCUCUGGGACACACAGACUGGGACUCUCUUGGGAUUCUCAAGAAGCAGGUGGCAAGACAAAGGAGGAGGCUUUCUGAGUCUUCCAUGAUUGCUGGAUGGACCAGCUUUGGGGACACAGUUGGCUGGAGACCCUUGUCAGGAGCCAGAGACCCCAGCCAUGCCUGUGUCAUCCUCCUCCUUUCCAACUGUCUUUUCCCUCUGCUAAGGUAAUAUUCUUAAUUGUUCAUUUUCCAGGAUGGAAACUUUAAUAUCUUCAUUUAAUCCUUCCAUGACUGGUAGGAGGAGGCUGAGUGGGCUUGGAGACCCAAAUCUGCACCCUCUGGGAUGGCAUGAGGAGCUUUCUGAAGAAAGAGACAGGGGCAGGUGAGUGGCCAUGGGCCCCUGACACCUGGGUCCCACUUCUGGUCUCUCUUCUAUCAGGACUGUCGAACACUCCCAUUCUCCCCUCUUUUACUGAGUCUAGAAAGUUGAAAACAGAAACAACACAUUGAUUUCCUCUGAUGCUAUUUCCAGGCUUCAUUUAAAUCAUAC